GUGACCCCAGGUCAGGCGGGGACA
rnacentral:rRNA from 2 species